rfam:Cavia porcellus supercont2_90 genomic scaffold, whole genome shotgun sequence.
GGAUGUGAGGCCAAUCUGGCUGUGACAUCUGUCACCCAUUGAUGGCCAGAGUUGAUUGGGCUGAUCUGCCGGACUCCACUGGUGUCCCAUCCUCCCUUACCAUGCACGUGUGGCCCUUCCGAAGCUACGGGCUCAGCAGAAGAGGACCCUUAGCCCUGAUAGAGGAGGACCAUUUUCUGUAUGAAUAGGUGUGUUCCCUGAUAGAACCUCCGAACGAGCUCUCAAAAUGAUCAUGGAAAGGAAAUGGUUUCAGGCAGUCCCGGACAUUGACGGCCUUGACUGAACAGCUGAAGACAGGAUUUCAGCACUGCUUCAGGU